CGGCGGCCGCAGGCCGGAUAUACUGCGGUGUGCGGCCCAUGGCCGCAGGAAAGG
rnacentral:sRNA from 1 species